UUAUUUGAAGGGUGUUCCAUUUCAGAACAAAACACUUGCAACAACUCGUUUCAAGUGAGAACGUUCCAAGCUUGAGUGUUCUGCACAUCCUUAUAAUAGCCCUAUUCAGAUAUCAGUCACAGAUUUCAACCAACAUCAAAGAGCUGCAACCAUUUGAUCAGCCCCAUUAUUCAUCUUGCUCCAGGGCAGCGAGGUCAAUACGUGGCGUUCUUUGCUGAGGCAAGAGAUUUCUUUAGCUUGAAGAUGAGAGAGGCAGGACGUAGAACAGUCCUAAUUCCAGGAUAGAGCAUAUGGAAUCUAGCACUAUAUCAAGAAUUGUGGAUUCUUCACACUUCGGGUGUUGCCAAAAAGAUUAUAAUACAAUACUGGAAGGACAAAUUCACUCCUGAAUUGCAACUUUGGAUUCCUGAUAAGUGCUCCCUGUCAGCAUUUGAACUGUUCUUUUUUCGUCGGCAAGAUUACGAUGCAAAAUAUGACAUGUGCUUCUCACAAAGAGAGGUGUGUUUUCCAUACUUGUGCACCUCCUAUUUUUCUACACAUGUGGACGGACCUGAAGGCUCUGUGUCUCUAGUGACUCCCAACUGGGGUUAUCGACCCAAGAACAAAGAGUGGUUUCUUCCAUCUUGUGAAAAGCACCUCUGAGAAGUAAGAAAGCAAAACAAAUGAAAAGGAAAUAUGAAAACUGUUUAGGCUGGACAAUCAACCUUAUACAAGCAUGUAAUAGGAACCAGAAUGGUGUUUCAAACAGAGAAGAGGAAAGAAAAAGAAAGUCACCUUGCCACAGGAGAGAGAUUGAACAAAGAGGAGGUGAUAGCUUGGAGAAUGAUAGAGUCAUCUAAUAUAUUCUAGCAGUAAAAGGGAUCUUAGUUCAAAGAAUAAAAGGGCUGUGCCAGUGUUCUUCAUUGUAAGACCCGAGUUCAGUGGUG